GACGAACGCUGGCGGCGUGCUUAACACAUGCAAGUCGAACGGAAAGGCCCUGCUUUUGUGGGGUGCUCGAGUGGCGAACGGGUGAGUAACACGUGAGUAACCUGCCCUUGACUUUGGGAUAACUUCAGGAAACUGGGGCUAAUACCGGAUAGGAGCUCCUGCUGCAUGGUGGGGGUUGGAAAGUUUCGGCGGUUGGGGAUGGACUCGCGGCUUAUCAGCUUGUUGGUGGGGUAGGGGCUUACCAAGGCAUUGACGGGUAGCCGGCCUGAGAGGGUGACCGGCCACAUUGGGACUGAGAUACGGCCCAGACUCCUACGGGAGGCAGCAGUGGGGAAUAUUGCACAGUGGGCGGAAGCCUGAUGCAGCAACGCCGCGUGCGGGAUGACGGCCUUCGGGUUGUAAACCGCUUUCGCCUGUGACGAAGCGUGAGUGACGGUAAUGGGUAAAGAAGCACCGGCUAACUACGUG
rnacentral:rRNA from 1 species